rnacentral:rRNA from 1 species
UCGAACCUACGGGGCGCAGCAGUCGGGAAUAUUGCGCAAUGGAGGAAACUCUGACGCAGUGACGCCGCGUAUAGGAAGAAGGUCUUCGGAUUGUAAACUAUUGUCGUUAGGGAAGAGAAAGGACAGUACCUAAGGAGGAAGCUCCGGCUAACUACGUGCCAGCAGCCGCGGUAAUACGUAGGUGGCAAGCGUUAUCCGGAAUUAUUGGGCGUAAAGAGCGCGCAGGUGGUUAAUUAAGUCUGAUGUGAAAGCCCACGGCUUAACCGUGGAGGGUCAUUGGAAACUGGUUGACUUGAGUGCAGAAG